rnacentral:rRNA from 1 species
GGAGACUGCCGGUGACAAACCGGAGGAAGGUGGGGAUGACGUCAAGUCAUCAUGGCCCUUACGGCCUGGGCUACACACGUGCUACAAUGGUCGGUACAAAGGGUUGCCAAGCCGCGAGGUGGAGCUAAUCCCAUAAAAACCGAUCGUAGUCCGGAUCGCAGUCUGCAACUCGACUGCGUGAAGUCGGAAUCGCUAGUAAUCGUGAAUCAGAAUGUCACGGUGAAUACGUUCCCGGGCCUUGU